GUAGGUGGCAAGCGUUGUCCGGAAUUAUUGGGCGUAAAGCGCGCGCAGGUGGUUCUUUAAGUCUGAUGUGAAAGCCCCCGGCUCAACCGGGGAGGGUCAUUGGAAACUGGGGAACUUGAGUGCAGGAGAGGAAAGUGGAAUUCCACGUGUAGCGGUGAAAUGCGUAGAUAUGUGGAGGAACACCAGUGGCGAAGGCGACUUUCUGGCCUGUAACUGACACUGAGGCGCGAAAGCGUGGGGAGCAAACAGGGAUUAGAUACCCUGGUAGUCCACGCCGUAAACGAUGAGUGCUAAGUGUUGGGGGGGUUUCCCGUCUCUCAGUGCUGCAGCUAACGCAUUAAGCACUCCGCCCUGGGAGUACGGUCGCAAGACUG
rnacentral:rRNA from 1 species